GGGUGAGUAACGCGUGGGUACCUGCCUAUUAGUGGGGGACAACAGUCGGAAACGGCUGCUAAUACCGCAUAAUCUCUACGGAGGAAAGCGGGGGAUUCUUCGGAACCUCGCGCUGAUAGAUGGGCCCGCGUCUGAUUAGCUUGUUGGUAAGGUAAUGGCUUACCAAGGCGAUGAUCAGUAACUGGUUUGAGAGGAUGAUCAGUCACACUGGAACUGAGACACGGUCCAGACUCC
rnacentral:rRNA from 1 species